ensembl:snRNA U2 U2 spliceosomal RNA
AUCGCUUCUCAGCCUUUUGGCUAAGAUCAAGUGUAGUAUAGUGAAAUUCCACCUGGGUAAAUAUAUAGCUUCCUAUUCUUGUCCCUGAAGGAUUUACACAUAUAUGAAGUCAUUCUGAUCUCACUCUGUUUAGCAACAUAUCAUUUCUAACAUAAAACCA